rnacentral:rRNA from 1 species
GACGAACGCUGGCGGCGUGCUUAACACAUGCAAGUCGAACGGAAAGGCCCUGCUUUUGUGGGGUGCUCGAGUGGCGAACGGGUGAGUAACACGUGAGUAACCUGCCCUUGACUUUGGGAUAACUUCAGGAAACUGGGGCUAAUACCGGAUAGGAGCUCCUGCUGCAUGGUGGGGGUUGGAAAGUUUCGGCGGUUGGGGAUGGACUCGCGGCUUAUCAGCUUGUUGGUGGGGUAGUGGCUUACCAAGGCUUUGACGGGUAGCCGGCCUGAGAGGGUGACCGGCCACAUUGGGACUGAGAUACGGCACAGACUCCUACGGGAGGCAGCAGUGGGGAAUAUUGCACAAUGGGCGGAAGCCUGAUGCAGCAACGCCGCGUGCGGGAUGACGGCCUUCGGGUUGUAAACCGCUUGCGCCUGUGACGAAGCGUGAGUGACGGUAAUGGGUAAAGAAGCACCGGAUAACUACGUG